rnacentral:lncRNA from 1 species
GCGGAGGCGCUUCGCCGCCGGCGGCGAGGACAACUUCUUUUUGGCUUUCUUAUAAGAUUUGCAUCUGCUACAUUGGUGCUGGGGAAACAGCAUUCAGUUUUCACCUUCGCCUGAUUGCAUAGUCAUAGAAUCUCUGAGAAGCAUUGAUCUAAAGGAUGCACCUAACGUUUUCAUGCCUUACAGGGAGGCCAAGCACAUCAACGAAGACAUCGUCAAGAGGAGGACUAACCUCAUGUCUCAUCGUUCCCUGCUUGUUCGAUUCAACACAAGUCGAAGCUUCCUCGGAGCCUUGUCUUCACAGUUACCCAAUGAACUUAUCAAUCUUCCUGUCACUGUC